AAAUUGAAGAGUUUGAUCAUGGCUCAGAUUGAACGCUGGCGGCAGGCCUAACACAUGCAAGUCGAACGGUAACAGGAAACAGCUUGCUGUUUCGCUGACGAGUGGCGGACGGGUGAGUAAUGUCUGGGAAACUGCCUGAUGGAGGGGGAUAACUACUGGAAACGGUAGCUAAUACCGCAUAAUGUCGCAAGACUAAAGAGGGGGACCUUCGGGCCUCUUGCCAUCGGAUGUGCCCAGAUGGGAUUAGCUAGUAGGUGGGGUAACGGCUCACCUAGGCGACGAUCCCUAGCUGGUCUGAGAGGAUGACCAGCCACACUGGAACUGAGACACGGUCCAGACUCCUACGGGAGGCAGCAGUGGGGAAUAUUGCACAAUGGGCGCAAGCCUGAUGCAGCCAUGCCGCGUGUAUGAAGAAGGCCUUCGGGUUGUAAAGUACUUU
rnacentral:rRNA from 1 species